rnacentral:rRNA from 1 species
GUGAGGAAUAUUGGUCAAUGGGCGAGAGCCUGAACCAGCCAAAUCGCGUGAAGGAUGAAGGUAUUAUGUAUUGUAAACUUCUUUUAUCGGGGAAUAAAGUGCACCACGUGUGGUGUUUUGUAUGUACCCGAAGAAUAAGGAUCGGCUAACUCCGUGCCAGCAGCCGCGGUAAUACGGAGGAUCCAAGCGUUAUCCGGAUUUAUUGGGUUUAAAGGGUGCGUAGGCGGACUGUCAAGUCAGCGAUGAAAGUCCAUGGCUCAACCAUGGAAUUGCCGUUGAAACUGUCGGUCUUGAGUGUAGAUGAGGUAGGCGGAAUUCGUAGUGUAGCGGUGAAAUGCUUAGAUAUUACGAAGAACUCCAAUUGUGUAGGCAGCUUACCAGGCUACAACUGACGCUGAGGCACGAAGGUGCGGGGAUCAAACAGGAUUAGAUACCCUAGUAGUCC